rnacentral:rRNA from 1 species
ACGAACGCUGGCGGCGUGCUUAACACAUGCAAGUCGAACGGUGAAGGGACCAGCUUGCUGGUUCUGGAUGAGUGGCGAACGGGUGAGUAACACGUGAGUAACCUGCCCCCUUCUUCUGGAUAACCGCAUGAAAGUGUGGCUAAUACGGGAUAUUCUGGGUCUGUCGCAUGACGGGCCCGGGAAAGAUAUUGCUUCGGUGGGGGAUGGGCUCGCGGCCUAUCAGCUUGUUGGUGGGGUGAUGGCCUACCAAGGCGGUGACGGGUAGCCGGCCUGAGAGGGUGGACGGUCACACUGGGACUGAGACACGGCCCAGACUCCUACGGGAGGCAGCAGUGGGGAAUAUUGCACAAUGGGCGCAAGCCUGAUGCAGCGACGCCGCGUGAGGGAUGGAGGCCUUCGGGUUGUAAACCUCUUUCGCCAGUGAAGCAGGCCUGCUCCUUGUGGGUGGGUAGAACGGUAGCUGGAUAAGAAGCGCCGG